rnacentral:rRNA from 1 species
AACCUGGUUGAUCCUGCCAGUAGUCAUAUGCUUCGUUCAAGGGCUAAGCCAUGCAUGUCUCAGCGCAAACGGUUCCACAGUGGGUCUGUGAAUGGCUCCUUACAUCAGCAGUCAUCCAAGUGGUAAAGUGUGGCUAGCGCACCGGCCAAGUGCUCAUUGGACAUCCUCCAAAACCUGGUGGCUAAUACACGGAAGAUCAGGUCUGCCACGUCACGUUUGUCGGCAUUCAUGCCUGCCUAACGGCGGUGGAUUGCGCCCAGCUGUUUGGAAGACCAGCGCCUGGGAAAGGCAGUGUGUCAUGGCUGAAUCAGGCUGGUCCCCUCGGGACAGUCGCGCUGGCAGAGUGAAGGCCUCGGCCUACAUUGCUUGACCACAGGAACUUCUGACCUAUCAGCUUUGAUUGUGGUGUAGUGGACCACAGUGGCAUUGACGGGUAACGGAGAAUUUGGGUUCGAUUCCGGAGAGGGAGCCUGAGAGACGGCUACCACUACCAAGGUGGGCAGCAGGCGCGCAAAUUGCCCAAUGCAAAGACAUCUGUGUGAGGCAGCGACGAACCGCAACAAUCCUGUUGGUUUCAAAACCAGCAGGACUUGUAAUGGAUGCUAUCCAAAAACAGUCAUGAGUAUCAACUGGAGGGCAAGUCUGGUGCCAGCAGCUGCGGUAAUUCCAGCUCCAAGGGCGUAUGCUAACAUUGCUGCGGUUAAAACACUUGUAGUCUGCCACAGGGUCCAGGUCUGCCGGGUGGCUGGUGCGGGGCCCUCGGGCGCUGCGCCGGAUACAACCCCCGGCAGUAUGUCCUGGUCCCGAUCUCAUGACGGUGCGAUCCGCUCCUGCUCGAAGUCCCCUUAACUGGGGGCCAAGGCGGUUUCAACACCCAACACGUGUGGCGACGCGAAGGGGGCGUGGCCUCGUGCCUCGCAGCAACCCCUGUCCACCACCGGAGUCCACCGUUAAUGUCACCGUGGAAAACUCAGUGUGCUCAAAGCAUUCAGUUUGACUGGAUGUCCAUCCAUGGAAUGUCAAAGCAUCGACCAAGUGUGGCCAUGGAGUUGUGCUGGCCUUGGAGCUCACUCUGGAGAAUAUGGUGCGGCACUGCGGUGGGCAAGGGCCCUCGGGAUUCCUGCCGGUCGGAGUUGCCGUACUAAUCGGAGACGAUGGGACCGCUCGAGGUGAAAGAUAUUGCAACGCUAGAGGUGAAAUUCUUAGACCGUUGCAAGAUCAACGGCAGCGAAGGCGUUCUGCAAGUGCGUGUUCGUCGAUCAAGAAUGAGAGCGUGGGGAGCGAAGAUGAUCAGACACCGUCGUAGUCCACAGCUGUAAACUAUGCCAGCUCGGUCUCAGUGGAGCAAGUUCACGGACUCCACUGGUGCCAUGCCCUCCACAACGAGAAAUCCAAGCCUUUGGGUUCCGGGGGGAGUACGGUCGCAAGGCUGAAACUUAAAGGAAUUGACGGAAUGGCACCACAAGGCGUGGAGUAUGCGGCUUAAUUUGACUCAACACGGGGAAUGUUACCAGGUCAGGACGUUGCUGGGAUGGACAGAUUGAGAGCUCUUUCUUGAUCCUUCGGAUGGUGGUGCAUGGCCGCUCCUGAUUGGUGGAGUGAUUUGUCUGGUUGAUUCCGAUAACGAGUGAGACAUCUGCCUCCCAAUAGCCUCCAUCUCGCAUCUGUAGGGCAGGCCUCGGUGGACCCGGUUCGCCGGCGAUGCCGUUGGCCUCCUGAGAGUUUGGAGCCAAGCUUCUCUGAGGUGCUGUGUUCGCUGCCAAGAGCACGCAUGCUAGAGCCAACAGCAGGUCUGUGAUGCUCCCAGAUGUCCUGGGCCGCACGCGCACUACAUUGACACAGGGAAGGAGUCUUCCGUCGGCUUGUCCGAACCUGCUCAGACGUGAGUGGGAAACCCUGCAAAACUGUGCUGUACUGGGGAUAGAUGAUUGCAACUGUCUGCCUUGAACGAGGAAUGCCUAGUAUGCGCAAGUCAUCAGCUUGCACCGAUUGUGUCCCUGCCAUUUGUACACACCGCCCGUCGUUGCUACCGAUGGUGGCAUGAUAGAGCCAUCAGGAGGCCACGGAUCCCUCGGGGUCCAAGUCAAAAUUGGGCAAUGUCCUGCCACUAGAGGAAGCAAAAGUCGUAACAAGGUUGUUGUAGGUGAACCUGCAGAAAGGAUCA